rnacentral:rRNA from 1 species
UACGUAGGGCGCAAGCGUUGUCCGGAAUUAUUGGGCGUAAAGAGCUCGUAGGCGGUUUGUCGCGUCUGUCGUGAAAGCUUGGGGCUUAACCCCAAGUCUGCGGUGGAUACGGGCAGACUAGAGGCAGGUAGGGGAGAACGGAAUUCCCGGUGCAGCGGUGAAAUGCGCAGAUAUCGGGAGGAACACCGGUGGCGAAGGCGGUUCUCUGGGCCUGUACUGACGCUGAGGAGCGAAAGCGUGGGGAGCGAACAGG